rnacentral:rRNA from 1 species
CCCUUAGAUGUUCUGGGCCGCACGCGCGCUACACUGAUGCAUUCAACGAGUCUAAAACCUGCUCUGAUAGGGGUGGGUAAUCUUUUGAAUGUGCAUCGUGAUUGGGAUAGAUGAUUGCAAUUUUUCAUCUUCAACGAGGAAUGCCUAGUAGACGCAAGUCAUCAGCUUGCAUUGAUUACGUCCCUGCCCUUUGUACACACCGCCCGUCGCUCCUACCGAUUGAAUGAUCCGAUGAAUAUCAUGGAUUGAGGAUGCAAGUAGGUUAGCCUAUCUUCAUCUUCGAGAAGUGAAGUAAAUCUUAUCAUUUAGAGGAAGGAGAAGUCGUAACA